CUCCUACGGGAGGCAGCAGUCGGGAAUAUUGCGCAAUGGAGGGAACUCUGACGCAUUGACGCCGCGUAUGGGAAGAAGGUUUUCGGAUUGUAAACCAUUUUAGACAGGGAAGAAAAAAGACGGUACCUGUAGAAUAAGCCCCGGCUAACUAUGUGCCAGCAGCCGCGGUAAUACAUAGGGGGCAAGCGUUAUCCSGAAUUAUUGGGUGUAAAGGGUGCGUAGACGGGAGUCUAAGUUAGUUGUGAAAUCCCUCGGCUUAACUGAGGAACUGCAACUAAAACUGGAUUUCUUGAGUAUUGGAGAGGAAAGUGGAAUUCCUAGUGUAGCGGUGAAAUGCGUAGAUAUUAGGAGGAACACCAGUGGCGAAGGCGACUUUCUGGACAAAAACUGACGUUGAAGCACGAAAGUGUGGGGAGCAAACAGGAUUAGAUACCCUGGUAGUCCACGCCGUAAACGAUGAGUGCUAAGUGUUGGGGGUCGAACCUCAGUGCUGAAGUUAACGCAUUAAGCACUCCGCCUGGGGAGUACGGCCGCAAGGUUAAAACUCAAAUGAAUUGACGGGGGCCCGCACAAGCGGUGGAGCAUGUGGUUUAAUUCGAUGCAACGCGAAGAACCUUACCUACUCUUGACAUCCAGAGAAUUCGCUAGAGAUAGCUUAGUGCCUUCGGGCGAUCUGAGACAGGUGGUGCAUGGUUGUCGUCAGCUCGUGUCGUGAGAUGUUGGGUUAAGUCCCGCAACGAGCGCAACCCUUGCGAUUGGUUGCUAACAGGUAAAGCUGAGGACUCCAAUAGGACUGCCGGGGACAACUCGGAGGAAGGUGGGGACGACGUCAAAUCAUCAUGGCCCUUACGAGUAGGGCUACACACGUGCUACAAUGGUGUAUACAAAGAGAAGCGAACUCGCGAGAGCAAGCGGACCUCAUAAAGUACGUCGUAGUCCGGAUCGGAGUCUGCAACUCGACUCCGUGAAGUCGGAAUCGCUAGUAAUCGUAGAUCAGAAUGCUACGGUGAAUACGUUCCCGGGCCUUGUACACACCGCCCGU
rnacentral:rRNA from 1 species